GUUGUGAAUAUCUUCAUGAGUUGUCUGCUUAUAUUGUAUUCUUGUCAUUAUAGAUUAACUAUACUUAUGGCAUUCUCACUGUCUCUUAGAGGUAUCCUAGAUACUAACAAGUUGAUUGGACCCAACUAUAUCAACUGGUUAAGAAACUUAAGAAUUAUUCUCAUUCAGAAGAAAGUCUUCUACAUUUUGGAUACACCUACUCCAGAUAAUCUUGGAGAAGAUGCUUCCGAGGAAGA
rnacentral:lncRNA from 1 species